rnacentral:rRNA from 1 species
GAUGAACGCUGGCGGCGUGCCUAAUACAUGCAAGUCGAGCGAACGGACGAGAAGCUUGCUUCUCUGAUGUUAGCGGCGGACGGGUGAGUAACACGUGGAUAACCUACCUAUCAUACUGGGAUAACUUCGGGAAACCGGAGCUAAUACCGGAUGAUCUUUUGAACCGCAUGGUUCAAAAGUGAAAGACGGUCUUUCUGUCACUUAUAGCUGGAUCCGCGCUGCAUUAGCUAGUUGGUAAGGUAACGGCUUACCAAGGCAACGAUGCAUAGCCGACCUGAGAGGGUGAUCGGCCACACUGGAACUGAGACACGGUACAGACGGCUACGGGAGGCAGCAGUAGGGAAUCGUCCGCAAUGGGCGAAAGCCAGACGGAGCAACGCCGCGUGAGUGAUGAAGGUCGUCGGAUCGUAAAACACUGUUAUUAGGGAAGAACAUAUGUGUAAGUAACAGGGCACAUCUUGAAGGUAAAUAAGCAGAAAGCCACGGCUAAAUAAGUG